rnacentral:lncRNA from 12 species
UUGUUUACUUCUCUUUCUGACACACUAACAAACCAAACAUGCACUUGAAAAGGACAUUGGCAAGGGAGAAAGAAGCACGCAUGAAACUACAAGGAGAUGGAAAUAUGCACCGUGGGAGGAGACCUCAGUCUCAGCAGCUGAAAUCUGGAAUGUUGCAAGCAUGUGAAGACUGGAAAACAGAACAGUUGUCAAACAAAAGGCAGAAUGAUAACAUGAACAGAAGCAAUAGCCAGA